AAAUAGGCAGAAAGAGGAAACCUGGUGAACUGAAACAUCUUAGUAACCAGAGGAAAAGAAAGCAAAAGCGAUUCCCUUAGUAGUGGCGAGCGAAACGGGAACAGCCUAAACCAUCAAGAAAAGAUGGGGUUGUGGGGGAGUACUUAUAUCGACGGUUAAAUUAUGCGAAACAGUUGAGUGCUGUACCAUAGAUGGUAAAAGUCCAGUAGCUAAAAAUUUAUUCCUAAGAUUACUCUAACCCGAGUAGCAUGAGGCACGUGAAACCUUGUGUGAAUCAGCGAGGACCACCUCGUAAGGCUAAAUACUCCUGGGUGAGCGAUAGCGAAGAGUACCGUGAGGGAAAGGUGAAAAGAAGUCCCAUUGGACAGUGAAAUAGAACAUGAAACCGUAAGCCUACAAGCAGUGGGAGGAGAAUUGAAUCUUUGACCGCGUGCCUGUUGAAGAAUGAGCCGGCGACUUAUAGGCAGUGGCCUGGUUAAGGGUAUACCGAAUCCAUAGCGAAAGCAAGUCAUAUCAGGGCGUAAGUCACUGUCUAUGGACCCGAACCCGGGUGAUCUAUCCAUGGCCAGGGUGAAAUUUAGGUGAAACUGAAUGGAGGCCCGAACCGACUGGUGUUGAAAAACCAGCGGAUGAGCUGUGGUUAGGGGUGAAAUGCCAAUCGAACUCGGAGCUAGCUGGUUCUCCCCGAAAUGCGUUGAGGCGCAGCGGUUGAUGGGACUACUUAGGGGUAAAGCACUGUUUGGGUGCGGGCUGUGCAAACGGUACCAAAUCGAGACAAACUCUGAAUACUAAGUAAGACUAGCCAUCAGCCAGUGAGACGGUGGGGGAUAAGCUCCAUCGUCGAGAGGGAAACAGCCCAGAUCACCAGCUAAGGCCCCUAAAUGACUGCUAAGUGGUAAAGGAAGUGAGAGUGCAAAGACAGCCAGGAGGUUUGCCUAGAAGCAGCUACCCUUGAAAGAGUGCGUAAUAGCUCACUGAUCGAGCGCUCUUGCACCGAAGAUGAACGGGACUAAGCAGUCUGCCGAAGCUGUGAGAUGUUAAUAUUUAAACAUCGGUAGGGGAGCGUUCCGCGGUAGGUAGAAGCAUUAACGUGAAGUAGGUGUGGACGAUGCGGAAGUGAGAAUGUCGGCUUGAGUAACGCAAACGUUGGUGAGAAUCCAACGCCCCGAAAACCCAAGGUUUCCUUCGGUAGGUUCGUCCACGAGGGGUUAGUCAGGGCCUAAGGCAAAGCCGAACGGCGUAGUCGAUGGAUAACGGAUUAAUAUUUCCGUACUAUAUUCUUUUUUACUUUAGAGGGACGAAGAAGGUUAAGGAUAGUCAACGACUGGUGGUUUUGACUAAAGGGAAUUUAAUACCCGAUUUAUCUAUACCAUGCUUCCAAGAAAAGCUCAAAAAGGCUUGAAAGAAAAUACCUGUACCUCAAACCGACACAGGUGGGUAGGUUGAGAAUACCUAGGGGCGCGAGAUAACUCUCUCUAAGGAACUCGGCAAGAUAGCCCCGUAACUUCGGGAGAAGGGGUGCCUCCUCUACAAGGAGGCCGCAGUGACCAGGCCCAGGCGACUGUUUACCAAAAACACAGGUCUCCGCAAAAUCGUAAGACAACGUAUGGGGGCUGACGCCUGCCCAGUGCCGGAAGGUUAAGGAAGUUAGUGACUCGAAGCCGAGGAAGCUAGCAACCGAAGCCCCGGUGAACGGCGGCUGUAACUAUGACGGUCCUAAGGUAGCGAAAUUCCUUGUCGGGUAAGUUCCGACCCGCACGAAAGGCGUAACGAUCUGGGCACUGUCUCGGAGAGAGACUCGGUGAAAUAGACUUGUCUGUGAAGAUGCGGACUACCUACACCUGGACAGAAAGACCCUAUGAAGCUUUACUGUUCCCUGGGAUUGGGUUUGGGCCUUUUUUGCGCAGCCUAGGUGGGAGGCGGAGACGAUAUUCUUCUGGGAAUAUUCGAGCCAUCCAUGAGAUACCACCCUAAAAAGGCUAGGAUUCUAACUCUAAGCCUAGAAGAAGGAUAGAGAACAUUCUCAGGUAGACAGUUUCUAUGGGGCGUAGGCCUCCUAAAGAGUAACGGAGGCGUGCAAAGGUUUCCUCGGGCUGGAUGGAAAUCAGUCUUCGAGUGCAAAGGCAAAAGGGAGCUUGACUGCAAGACCUACACGUCGAGCAGGGACGAAAGUCGGCCUUAGUGAUCCGACGGUGCCGAGUGGAAGGGCCGUCGCUCAACGGAUAAAAGUUACUCUAGGGAUAACAGGCUGAUCUUCCCCAAGAGUUCACA
rnacentral:rRNA from 1 species